rnacentral:rRNA from 1 species
AAAUUGAAGAGUUUGAUCAUGGCUCAGAUUGAACGCUGGCGGCAGGCCUAACACAUGCAAGUCGAACGGUAACAGGAAACAGCUUGCUGUUUCGCUGACGAGUGGCGGACGGGUGAGUAAUGUCUGGGAAACUGCCUGAUGGAGGGGGAUAACUACUGGAAACGGUAGCUAAUACCGCAUAAUGUCGCAAGACUAAAGAGGGGGACCUUCGGGCCUCUUGCCAUCGGAUGUGCCCAGAUGGGAUUAGCUAGUAGGUGGGGUAACGGCUCACCUAGGCGACGAUCCCUAGCUGGUCUGAGAGGAUGACCAGCCACACUGGAACUGAGACACGGUCCAGACUCCUACGGGAGGCAGCAGUGGGGAAUAUUGCACAAUGGGCGCAAGCCUGAUGCAGCCAUGCCGCGUGUAUGAAGAAGGCCUUCGGGUUGUAAAGUACUUUCAGCGGGGAGGAAGGGAGUAAAGUUAAUACCUUUACUCAUUGACGUUACCCGCAG